UUGAACGCUGGCGGCAUGCUUUACACAUGCAAGUCGAACGGGGUGAGGGGGCAACUCCUCAUUCAGUGGCGAACGGGUGAGUAAUGCAUCGGAACGUGUCCGGAAGUGGGGGAUAACUCGGCGAAAGCCGAGCUAAUACCGCAUAUGCUCUUCGGAGGAAAGCAGGGGACCGCAAGGCCUUGUGCUUUCGGGGCGGCCGAUGUCCGAUUAGCUUGUUGGUGGGGUAAUGGCCUACCAAGGCGACGAUCGGUAGCUGGUCUGAGAGGAUGAUCAGCCACACUGGGACUGAGACACAGCCCAGACUCCUACGGGAGGCAGCAGUGGGGAAUUUUGGACAACGGGGCAACCCUGAUCCAGCCAUGCCGCGUGCGGGAAGAAGGCCUUCGGGUUGUAAACCGCUUUUAGCCGGGAAGAAAAGGGCGAGGCUAAUACCCUCGUCACUUGACGGUACCGGCGGAAUAAGCACCGGCUAACUACGUGCCAGCAGCCGCGGUAAUACGUAGGGUGCGAGCGUUAAUCGGAAUUACUGGGCGUAAAGCGUGCGCAGGCGGUUCGCUGUGUCCGAUGUGAAAGCCCCGGGCUUAACCUGGGAAUGGCAUUGGAAACUGGCGGGCUUGAGUGCGGCAGA
rnacentral:rRNA from 1 species